rnacentral:ncRNA from 13 species
AAAUUGGAUAAAGCAUUAGGUGCCCAUAAUGGGAGAAUAGGGAAUAAAGUGAAAAGCUUUAGCGGACCCGCCACUGUAUAAGGGAAUUUCAUGGUGAAUGCCACUAGUAUAUUGCUGGGAAGGUACUAUGGAAUGUUGAACUUGAGCCAGGAGACCUGCCUAUUUGCUUCGAGAGAAU